rnacentral:rRNA from 1 species
AUUGAACGCUGGCGGCAGGCCUAACACAUGCAAGUCGAGCGAGCGGCGGACGGGUGGGUGAUGUAUGGGGAUCUGCCCGAUAUAGGGGGAUAACGGCUGGAAACGGUGGAUAAAAGCGCAAACUAUCGGAUGAGCCCAUAGGGGAUUAGCUAGUAGGUGGGGUAAAGGCUCACCUAGGCGACGAUGUCUAGCUGGUCUGAGAGGAUGAUCAGCCACACUGGGACUGAGACACGGCCCAUACUCCUACGGGAGGCAGCAGUGGGGAAUAUUGCACAAUGGGCGAAAGCCUGACGGAGCCAUGCCGCGUGUAUGAAGAAGGCCUUAGGGUUGUAAAUCACUGUCAGUGGGGAGGCGGUACCCACAGAAGAAGCACCGGCUAACUCCGUGCCAGCAGCCGCGGUAAUAC